rnacentral:misc_RNA from 1 species
UCAUACUCUACUCCCUAAUUGUGGUCAUCCUCGUGAUCCAUAAGAAUCCAAGAUCCAUUUUCGUGUUGAACCAUUCCUUUAUUCUUCUCGAUCCACCACGACGCUGGCACUCCAUAUUCAUCCUUCAACACAUCAUCUGCUUUAUUCAUAAGAGCAAUAUCCCGAUUCAUCUCCAACUUGAACUCUCCUUCGAAUCCAUGGGUUCCAGCGAUUCCGUGCAAAUAAACCUCCAAAAUAUG